ensembl:lncRNA
UUUUUUUUUUUUUUUUGGCUUUUUACCAAUUUAAUCAGCAUAAUUUGGCUGUGCUGGAACAAAUCUACAAGACUCUAGAACUGCUCUUGUAGAUCAUGCAGAUGAAACAUGAACUAAUUAGUAGAUUUCUGGAUUUCUACAUCCACAGCUUUGGAAAAAACUGAUAAUGCCCAUCAGUCUUCACACAACAAGAGAGAGGCAAAACCCAGACAUACAAGAAAAACGGCUACAGAUGGACAUAUGUGUCACAAAUCUUUGCAAAGGAAAAUGAUUUUAAAAAAACCAAAAACAACAAGAAGAAGAUAUUAGGAUAAUAAGCAACAGCAUUUUGAGUUUUUUUCCUAAAUAUUUCAAUAAUAAAUUCACUUCUCUGCUUUUUCUGUCUGUAGUUCACUCUUUUGUGGAAAUUAAACAUGGUUCUGUAAGAACUAGAGGCCAUAAACCACCGUGGGAUUAAAAGGAAAAAGUAGCAGAAGCUGCGAAGAUGAAUAUUGAAUUCACCCACGAGUUAGUCUGAGCACAUCCAAAAGCCAUGACGUCAGUAAAAAGGAAAAAGCCUGACUAUUGCCCUGGGAAUGAAACCAAAAACUUGCUUUGCCAAUAUGUGAAGGUUUCUGAAAGUCUUCUAAAAGUUUCCUCAGGAGAAAACAAUAACUUGAUUAGGAAUGUUCCAGCAGAUGAUGAAGAACAAUAACAGCUGCUCCAAAGCUCACUGCAAACAAUGGAAAGUCCCCGUUGACUUGUUCAGUCUUGAACAGGGUCCAAAAUUCACAGAAUUUCACAGAAGAGGUAAAACCAGCUGUCUGCCUGCGAGAGCAGCACUCACGCAAUGAGGGGACAGGAAUGGCCCCAUAAUUCAAGCCCUGUCCAAAAACUGCCACUGACAGGCAAGAGCCUAAAAACAAGCCCUGAAAAAGUGGAUUCAGUGCUGGUCUGGAAGAAGGAUGCUCCCUUCCCAGGCUUGAUGGGAUAACACAGACAAACUCAGAAAGGUCUCUCUGGGAUUAAACCUGUCAUGCAUAAAUUGAUAUUGUUAAUUCCUAUGUGCCUUAAGGAGGUGUUUUUACUUUCCUGCUUGGUUAGUCACACACAAUCAGGAUGUCCUCCUGAUCUCACUGGUACCAGUUUUAUGGGAGGUCUCUAGGCUGCAUUUCUUGGCACUGAGCUUAUUAAACUGCCCAUGGGGGUUGAAUGGGCUGGGCAGACUCUGCUCUUUGCUCUGAUGUGAUAAACACCCCAGACUGUGUCACCUUCUGAGCUUACUUGGGACAUACCUGUACAUAAGUCGGCUCUAAUGAUUUCCCCUUGCCAUCACCACCUAAAGCCUUCCUUCCUCAGCUUCCAAGAGCAGGAAGCUGCCAUGUCUCUGCUCAGAGCCCCCAUUCCCACGCCCAAUGCAAUUAGAGCCUGGUGCCCUACGCAGUGCAAUUAGAAUUAAUGAGGAAGUUUAAACCAAUAACAUCAGAAAUGUGUUUGUCUCAUUAUCUUUGAGACAGGGAUAAAAGAAGCAAGACAGCCUCAAAACCAUAUGACAAAUGUGACAGUGCUGGAGUCUGAAUUCCAGGACUGCACCAGCACCUGGGGAGUGCUGGGCUGAGGGGCAGAGGCUGUGGGUGAUGGAACAGCCUUGUAAGGAAUUUAACUACAGAUAGGGAGGGAACUGUUGGGGCAACAGAGUAAGCAGUGGGUUUUGCCAGCAAAAGGACAAAUUCCUCUUUCACCUCUUGAGGACCUUGGAGUAAACCUGCUCAGUGAGGCUUUGUGCCUUCCCACAGUUCAGAGCAGAGCAGCUUUGUGCUGCAGCACAGGAGCUGGGGAAAGUCAGCAGGAAUAAACUGAAUCCUAAUAACAUCUGCUUUACUUUCCUAGCAUGUCCCCCACCACCACCUCACAAAAAGAGAAGCAUUUGGGAAGUCCAAGAGAUGCUUUCCCCAUGAUGAAGCUUAAAGUUGGUUUCAAAAUAAAACCACAUUUCUCUGCAAAUGAAGCCUUAACAGCAGUGUUAUUUAUUUAACAGCAAAAACAAGCCAAAGACAAAAUAAAACUUAACCCUCUUCCUGAGCUUUUCACUAGGUACACAUAUAUUUUGUCCUUUCUCACAAAAUUAUGUAGUCUUGUAUUUGAAGGGAGCUUGUGUUGCUCAUACUCUUUUGGCCAGGUACAAUAAAUACUCCUAAAAGUAAUCCUAAUAAAGCCUGAGUAAGCAUGCACAUUGUAAGCAUGCUCCCUUCCCAAAUUCCUGUCCCUGCCCCAUGAAACUGAAAUCAGGUUUUUUCCAUUACAUGGUUGAAGCCUGUGCACAGGCAGAGCAGAGGCUCUGGAUCUUUGUCCUAGUAGUUAAAAUCCCUCUGGAAUUUGUGUCAAUUUAUCCAAAGGGCUACUUGGAAAUACUGUGCAGGGCUUAAACCCCCUCCUCUGUGCUAUUUUCGAGCACAAGCUCUAGCAGCUCUGAAGCAUUUAUUCCCAAUUGCACCCACAACUUUUCAUUUUGGUCUCUUUAAUGUGUCAGUUUAAAUCUCUUCCCCUUCCUCAGGCAGCUCUCGGGCUGUGCGGUGGCGUUGGGGCUGAUGCCUGAGAGCAGGAGCUGUGCAAAGUGCUCUCACAGCAGCGACACUUUCUCAUUUCAUGGCAUCGCACAUCUUGGUAGGCACAGGAAAGGCUGGUUUAUGCCCAAAAGGCACACUGGCACUUCAGCAUGUGCCAAGGCCAUGCAGCCUUUGCUUUAUGUCCAGAAUCACCUGUAUAGCUUUGCCUGCCUGGGUCAUGCGCUGCAAAUUCAGACAUCAGUUCUGGGUGGGGUUUUCCUGUGUAAGAAGUUUUAUUUGGGGAAAACAAAUCGGUUGUACCUCCACCACAAAUAAUCCCACUCAGCCAUCAGUCCACACUUGCAAAGCAACAGAAAGUUCCCCCCUGAGGUGGAUGUUCCCCAGGGGCAAUGCUGCUGUGAGCUGCAAGAGCAGGAGCAUCACAUGUGCACUGUGCCCAUAUGUCCCUGUCACCUCGUGGGACACUGCAGGGAACGGAUGUUAUCCCUCUGGAGGAACCAUGCUGCCUCCACAUCUCUCACCAAGAGCUCACGAGGAGGGAGGAGGCAAUUUCAGAAACUCACACCCCAGAACUGGGAAGGCUUUUUCCAUGUUCCUUACUGAAAUUAGUCUUUCCACUUCUCUGCCAGUCCUCCUCCUCCCAGUCAGGCCUGUCACUGAGGAAAUGCUAACUCCAGGAACACCAGCGCGGAUUUGGUGCACAGGCAGGGAGACUGCCCCUGCCCCUCUCUGGGGAAUGAAUUCCUCUAUUAGCAGGGCAGUUUCUUGCAAAUUCAAAACAAAGAAAUGAAGAAAAAAGUGAUUACCUACAGGAAAGCUUCAGCUGAUGGAGCAGGGCCAGUGUCCCUGCUUGCCGCUGCCAGAGCAGACUGUGUCCGACCUUGGAUGGGUCACUUGGGUCCAGCACAGCACUGUCACAGGCAAGGGCUCUGCAGUCAGCCAGCACAGGGCCAGGCACUGCUGCUGGCUCUGCCCUUAGUGUUCUACUGUUCUUUUAUUACUCAUAUAAAGCCUUCUAACAUGCUUCUUUAUAAUAUUACUUUAUACUCUAAGACGGACGCAUGGACAUGAUUAUCAAUUCUAUGCUAAAAGCAAAGUGAAGGAUGCUUUAUAAAGUCAGCUUAUUAUGGGUUUAUUCAGUAAAUUUAUGUCUUUUAGAAUGCUAUGUACACAGAAAUGAAGAUGUCUCAUAAUUACAUCAUUCAGGUCUACAAUUUAUAUUUCUGAAAGCCAGGGAAAGUUCCAAUAUAAUUCAGCCCCAUCUCUGCACAAAGAAAGGACUCAGUACUCUUCAUCUAAUAAGAGAGCAAAGUGUUUGGAGGUCUCUGGAGUAGAGUUGUAAUAGCCAAAUUGAGCUUUAACACACACCAUCAGGGAGCCAGAUGAGCUUGUUGUAGCACAUAUCAUGACGGGAUUUAUGUGAUGCAGCCCUGGGGCGUCUCCUCUCACCUGCAUCCCACAGGCCUGGGUUACACAGGGGCAGUGCUUCCCUUCAGUAAUGAAAGUGCUCUGUCAUUUUUCUCCUGAUCUUCACAAGAUAUAGCCUGUUCUCAAUGUAAAUAUCAAGAAUCUCAAAAAGUUCUCUUUCACACACAAAGGUAAAUGAAAAUGCCCCUUUCUUGGAGAUCGCAAUGUUUAAAAAGCCUCAAUGAGCUUUUCUUAUUCAUAAAAAUGCCUUGUUUUUAAAAGCUUGCCAUUUCCUUAACAGCUUUAAAUGUGUCUUUUGCAUCUCUCCAAAUCUGCAACUCUUCUUCCUCCCACUUUCCUCCAAAGUCCAUGUUAUGCAGUAUACUUGACAUGAUCUUGCAGCUGCUUCUCCCUGAGGAAAGUCCAACAAUUCACGAAAUGGCAACAAGGAGAAAGUGUCAGCAGGAAAAGUUAAUUUUAAUGAGAUGAAAAGAAAAUGCCCAGAGACAAAAGUCAAAGCCAGCUUGUGUUGCCAGUGGAAACCACUUGGUUCUGUGGGACACCCAGAAAACACACUCAGAGAAGUUGAAUCAUACAUGCACCUUUCUUGAGCUUCUCUCAUACUUUUUCUCCUUAAGUCCAGCCUGACACAACAUAACAUGAACAUCUUGCAUGAUAUCUCUCAAUUCUGCCUGCCUGCAAAAAACCUGAAGAAUUGACAUUCUCCUGUUAAUUUUUUUUCCAAACAAGAGCCAUUUUUAAUUACAGGUUUUAAGAUGAUAUAAUGUCCCUCCUGUGUUCUCAGGCACCCUGCUGUGUGCUUUUGCAGAGCAACGGUAAUAUCUGGCAAUGAUAAGAUCUUUAUAAACCUGCUGUCCUUGUUAAACAAAGAGGACUUUGAUUCUACAGUAACAUUGCAUUUGGUGAAAAGCUGAUUUGCAGACAGUCUUUUCCCAUCAGCCUACUAUGAAACUCACCCAGCGACCUUCAAGGGCUUUUGACCUCAUGUCUAGCAAAGCAAUGGCACAGUGAGCACCUGACUUUCAACCCAUUUUUCAGACCUGCCACUGCUGGCCCCACCUCUGCCUGUAACCUUCAGCCAUGGAUUUGGAGCUUGUAGUCAGCUCUUUUACCACCUGAGCCCUUUGAAAUGCCUUUCAGCCCCAUUGCAAAUGGCAAUACAAAAAUGGUGAUAGAGGGAGAUUAAAGGCUGAUGGCGGGUCUCAGAGGAACUGUGCUAUCUCUCCAGUUCUCUGCCAAUUUUUUCCAGGAACUUACUUCCUCUUAUAUAAGUUAUAGAUAUAUUUUUUUAAAAAUCAAUCUGCCUUAUGCAAAUAUUUCUUAUCAGCAGAUAACAUGCAGCACCAGACAUAUCUGAUUAGGGACCCUGGGCUUGAGGUGACAGAGUGG